rnacentral:rRNA from 1 species
AAUCUGCCCUUCAGCGGGGGAUAAGCCUUCGAAAGGAGGUCUAAUACCGCAUAACAUUCUAAGAUGACAUCUUCUAAGAAUCAAAGAUGACCUCUACUUGUAAGCUAUCACUGAAGGAUGAGCUCGCGCUCCAUUAGCCUGUUGGUAGGGUAACGGCCUACCAAAGCUACGAUGGAUAGCCGACCUGAGAGGGUGAACGGCCACACUGGGACUGAGAUACGGCCCAG